AGAGGUGGCAAGCGUUGUUCGGAAUUACUGGGCGUAAAGGGCGCGUAGGCGGUCUUGUAAGUCCCGUGUGAAAUCCCUCGGCUCAACUGAGGAACCGCACGGGAAACUGCUUGGCUUGAGAUCGGGAGAGGGAAGCGGAAUUCCGGGUGUAGCGGUGAAAUGCGUAGAUAUCCGGAGGAACACCGGUGGCGAAGGCGGCUUCCUGGACCGACACUGACGCUGAGGCGCGAAAGCUAGGGGAGCAAACGGGAUUAGAUACCCCGGUAGUCCUAGCUGUAAACGAUGAGUGCUGGGUGUAGGGGGUAUUGACCCCCCCUGUGCCGAAGCUAACGCAUUAAGCACUCCGCCUGGGGAGUACGGUCGCAAGGCUG
rnacentral:rRNA from 1 species